rnacentral:rRNA from 1 species
AAUCCAUAGGUUAAUGAGGCGAACCGGGGGAACUGAAACAUCUAAGUACCCCGAGGAAAAGAAAUCAACCGAGAUUCCCCCAGUAGCGGCGAGCGAACGGGGAGGAGCCCAGAGCCUGAAUCAGCAUGUGUGUUAGUGGAAGCGUCUGGAAAGGCGCGCGAUACAGGGUGACAGCCCCGUACACAAAAGCGCAUGUGCUGUGAGCUCGAUGAGUAGGGCGGGACACGUGGUAUCCUGUCUGAAUAUGGGGGGACCAUCCUCCAAGGCUAAAUACUCCUGACUGACCGAUAGUGAACCAGUACCGUGAGGGAAAGGCGAAAAGAACCCCGGCGAGGGGAGUGAAAAAGAACCUGAAACCGUGUACGUACAAGCAGUGGGAGCACCCUUCGGGGUGUGACUGCGUACCUUUUGUAUAAUGGGUCAGCGACUUAUAUUCUGUAGCAAGGUUAACCGUAUAGGGGAGCCGUAGGGAAACCGAGUCUUAACCGGGCGUUAAGUUGCAGGGUAUAGACCCGAAACCCGGUGAUCUAGCCAUGGGCAGGUUGAAGGUUGGGUAACACUAACUGGAGGACCGAACCGACUAAUGUUGAAAAAUUAGCGGAUGACCUGUGGCUGGGGGUGAAAGGCCAAUCAAACCGGGAGAUAGCUGGUUCUCCCCGAAAGCUAUUUAGGUAGCGCCUCGUGAAUUCAUCUCCGGGGGUAGAGCACUGUUUCGGCUAGGGGGCCAUCCCGGCUUACCAACCCGAUGCAAACUGCGAAUACCGGAGAAUGUUAUCACGGGAGACACACGGCGGGUGCUAACGUCCGUCGUGAAGAGGGAAACAACCCAGACCGCCAGCUAAGGUCCCAAAGUCAUGGUUAAGUGGGAAACGAUGUGGGAAGGCCCAGACAGCCAGGAUGUUGGCUUAGAAGCAGCCAUCAUUUAAAGAAAGCGUAAUAGCUCACUGGUCGAGUCGGCCUGCGCGGAAGAUGUAACGGGGCUAAACCAUGCACCGAAGCUGCGGCAGCGAACGUAUCACUUAAAGCGAU